GACGAACGCUGGCGGCGUGCUUAACACAUGCAAGUCACGGGGGCUCGCAAGAGCAACCGGCGAACGGGUGCGUAACACGUGAGCAACCUGCCGAUCUGUGGGGGAUAGCCGGGCUAACGCCCGGGUAAUACCGCAUACGGUUCCCGCGAGGAGUCUCGCGGGAAAGAAACCUCCGGGGCAGAUCGAGGGGCUCGCGGCCUAUCAGCUAGUUGGGGGGGUAAUGGCCCACCAAGGCGACGACGGGUAGCGGUCUGAGAGGAUGGCCAGCCACAUUGGGACUGAGAGACGGCCCAGACUCCUACGGGAGGCAGCAGUGGGGAAUCUUGCGC
rnacentral:rRNA from 1 species